AAGAUACAUAUAUUUUGAAAUAGAAACAAAGUGAAAUUACAACUUGCAUGAUGCAUAACGUUACACGUACAAGUAGAAACUUCCACAAUAUAAUUGUGAAAAUGAAAAAGACAGGAAACAAACAAAACAAUGACCCAACAAGAAAACAAAAAAUACAACCUAACAUCAUAACUAAACCUUAUUUAGUAGUACAACUUUGAUGAUGAUACAUAAUUUACUUAACGGUAAGUACCGUAACCGGUGGCAUUUGGAUUAGUACCAGCGGUGUGGUGUCCACCCUGCCCCAAGUGUCCGGCAGUUGCCGCAGCGUUGUGUUCACGCGCCGCCUCCUUAUCCAGCNNN
rnacentral:lncRNA from 1 species